UAGAUCCUUGUACGUUAAAAGAUUGAC
rnacentral:sRNA from 1 species